rnacentral:rRNA from 1 species
AGUGAACGCUGGCGGCGUGCCUAAUACAUGCAAGUCGAACGGAGUGGCGCACGGGUGAGUAAUGUAUAGAUAAUCUCCCCUACACUAGAGGACAACAGUUGGAAACGGCUGCUAAUACUCUAUAGUGUAGGAUGAGGCUAUAUGGUAUCAGCUAGUUGGUGAGGUAAUGGCUCACCAAGGCUAUGACGCAUAACUUGUCUGAGAGGAUGAUCAGUCAAACUGUAACGGAGGCACGGUUCGGACUCCUACGGCAAGGAGCGGUAGGGGAUAUUGCUCAAUGGGGGAAACCCUGAAGCAGCAACGCCGCGUUGAGGAUGACACUUUUCGGAGCGUAAACUCCUGUUGUUAGGGAAGCGGUACCGAACGAAUAAGCACCGGCUAACUCCGUGCCAGCAGCCGCGGUAAUAC